rnacentral:rRNA from 1 species
UUAAGCAUAUCAAUAAGCGGAGGAAAAGAAACUAACAAGGAUUCCCCUAGUAACUGCGAGUGAAGCGGGAUGAGCUCAAAUUUAAAAUCUGGCGUCUUCGGCGUCCGAGUUGUAAUUUAGAGAAGCGUUUUCCGCGCCGGACCGUGUACAAGUCUCCUGGAACGGAGCGUCAUAGAGGGUGAGAAUCCCGUCUUUGACACGGACCCCCGGUGCUCUGUGAUACGCUCUCGAAGAGUCGAGUUGUUUGGGAAUGCAGCUCAAAAUGGGUGGUGAACUCCAUCUAAAGCUAAAUAUUGGCGAGAGACCGAUAGCGAACAAGUACCGUGAGGGAAAGAUGAAAAGCACUUUGGAAAGAGAGUGAAACAGUACGUGAAAUUGUUGAAAGGGAAACGCUUGAAGUCAGUCGCGUCCGCCGGAACUCAGCCGCAAGGUGUACUUUCCGGUGGACGGGCCAGCAUCACUUUCGAUCAUCGGAAAAAGGCAGAGGGAAUGUGGCACCUCCGGGUGUGUUAUAGCCCUUUGUCGUAUACGGUGACUGGGAGUGAGGACCGCCUUUUGUAGGAUGCUGGCGUAAUGGCUUUAAACGACCCGUCUUGAAACACGGACCAAGGAGUCUAACAUGCCCGCGAGUGUUCGGGUGGAAAACCCGUGCGCGUAAUGAAAGUGAAAGUUGGGAAGGCUGUCGCGGCCUGCACCGACGCCCGGACUUGAGAUUUAUCGAAGGUUCUGCGGUAGAGCGUGUAUGUUGGGACCCGAAAGAUGGUGAACUAUGCCUGAAUAGGGUGAAGCCAGAGGAAACUCUGGUGGAGGCUCGUAGCGAUUCUGACGUGCAAAUCGAUCGUCAAAUUU